ACGAACGCUGGCGGCGUGGAUAAGACAUGCAAGUCGAACGGGAGAAUUGCUAGCUUGCUAAUAAUUCUCUAGUGGCGCACGGGUGAGUAACACGUGAGUAACCUGCCUCUUAGUGGGGGAUAGCCCUGGGAAACCGGGAUUAAUACCGCAUACGAUUGAAAGAUCAAAGCAGCAAUGCGCUAGGAGAUGGGCUCGCGGCCUAUUAGUUAGUUGGUGAGGUAACGGCUCACCAAGGCGAUGACGGGUAGCCGGUCUGAGAGGAUGUCCGGCCACACUGGAACUGAGACACGGUCCAGACACCUACGGGUGGCAGCAGUCGAGAAUCAUUCACAAUGGGGGCAACCCUGAUGGUGCGACGCCGCGUGGGGGAAUGAAGGUCUUCGGAUUGUAAACCCCUGUCAUGUGGGAGCAAAUUAAAAAGAUAGUACCACAAGAGGAAGAGACGGCUAACUCUGUGCCAGCAGCCGCGGUAAUACAGAGGUCUCAAGCGUUGUUCGGAAUCACUGGGCGUAAAGCGUGCGUAGGCUGUUUCGUAAGUCGUGUGUGAAAGGCAGGGGCUCGACCCCUGGAUUGCACAUGAUACUGCGAGACUAGAGUAAUGGAGGGGGAACCGGAAUUCUCGGUGUAGCAGUGAAAUGCGUAGAUAUCGAGAGGAACACUCGUGGCGAAGGCGGGUUCCUGGACAUUAACUGACGCUGAGGCACGAAGGCCAGGGGAGCGAAAGGGAUUAGAUACCCCUGUAGUCCUGGCAGUAAACGGUGCACGCUUGGUGUGCGGGGAAUCGACCCCCUGCGUGCCGGAGCUAACGCGUUAAGCGUGCCGCCUGGGGAGUACGGUCGCAAGAUUAAAACUCAAAGAAAUUGACGGGGACCCGCACAAGCGGUGGAGUAUGUGGCUUAAUUCGAUGCAACGCGAAGAACCUUACCUGGGCUUGACAUGUAAUGAACAACAUGUGAAAGCAUGCGCCUCUUCGGAGGCGUUACACAGGUGCUGCAUGGCCGUCGUCAGCUCGUGUCGUGAGAUGUUUGGUUAAGUCCAGCAACGAGCGCAACCCCUGUUGCCAGUUACCAGCACGUCAAGGUGGGGGCUCUGGCGAGACUGCCCAGAUCAACUGGGAGGAAGGUGGGGACGACGUCAGGUCAGUAUGGCCCUUAUGCCCAGGGCUGCACACGUACUACAAUGCCCAGUACAGAGGGGGCCGAAGCCGCGAGGCGGAGGAAAUCCUGAAAACUGGGCCCAGUUCGGACUGUAGGCUGCAACCCGCCUACACGAAGCCGGAAUCGCUAGUAAUGGCGCAUCAGCUACGGCGCCGUGAAUACGUUCCCGGGUCUUGUACACACCGCCCGUCACAUCAUGGAAGCCGGUCGCACCCGAAGUAUCUGAAGCCAACCGCAAGGAGGCAGGGUCCUAAGGUGAGACUGGUAACUGGGAUG
rnacentral:rRNA from 1 species